CUACGGGACGCUCCAGUGAGGAAUAUUGCACAAUGGGGGGAACCCUGAUGCAGCAACGCCGCGUGGAGGAUGACGCAUUUCGGUGUGUAAACUCCUUUUAUAUGUCAAGAAAAUGACGGUAGCAUAUGAAUAAGCACCGGCUAACUCCGUGCCAGCAGCCGCGGUAAUACGGAGAGGUGCAAGCGUUACUCGGAAUCACUGGGCGUAAAGGACGCGUAGGCGGGUUGGAAAGUCAGGUGUGAAAUCCUACAGCUUAACUGUAGAACUGCACUUGAAACUUCUAAUCUAGAGUAUGAGAGGGGGAGAUGGAAUUAGUGGUGUAGGGGUAAAAUCCGUAGAUAUCACUAGGAAUACCUAAAGCGAAGGCGAUCUCCUGGAACAUUACUGACGCUAAGGCGUGAAAGCGUGGGGAGCAAACAGGAUUAGAUACCCGGGUAGUC
rnacentral:rRNA from 1 species